AAAAACCUUCCCUUUUUGCUGCUUGUUUGUUUGUUUACUUCCCAUUUCUUCCAUUUGCUUUUUGGUGCAAGUGUGAUACAUUUAAAAGCAAGUAUAGGCAAUGUUGUCCAAAAUCUGUCAAACCCUCCCAUUUAUUCUUAUCCAACUCCUACUUGGGGUUUUCUAGUUCCUCUUAGCUGCCAGGGACCCUGGUGGUCUGUGAGCUUCCAGAGAACUAAAUCAGAGAAGCUAGGCCAUGCAAUCCAGUGGUGCCUUGUGCUCUUUCCAGAGUUCAUUUGCAGGGUGUUGCAGAGCUGUCAAAGGUGGAACCGUUAUUUAUCCCCUGGAGUUUGUUCAGAGGGUAUGUGGCGGGCGGGCGAUAGGUAGUCUCUCUCUCACCUCUCAUUCACCUCUACAUCUUCCUAUUCCUGACACCACUGGUCAAAAUGGUACUGAUCCCACAUCCAAAAUAUCUGGCUAGGUGAGGAUUUGAAUCUUGUAGGCCGAUUAGCAAGGAGCUCAAUGGGGUCCUGAAUGCAAAAGAAUAUGUAGAAGAAACCAAGGAAAGUAUCUGCAGGCUGGUUGUUUCUCUGUGGCCUAUGUCUCUUUAGGUGUGGGCAUGGUCUGGUCAUGUCUUCCUCCUUGGCUAAAAGGAGACACCCUAAUGUGUCUUGGUGCCAUGAAGUCAAGUUAGCCUUGGAGUUGGUUACUUCCUCAGGAAAAUACUUUCUUGCCUUCUUCUUUCAAUACAGUUUUAAACUUGGGGAUGGAGGAUAAACAGAGGAUUUCCCCAGACCAAGGUACUUUGCAACCCUGUGAACCAUGCAUGGCCAGAGCCAGCCCCUGGAGCCUCCAUGCAGGGAGUCCACAGCCCUGGAGUAAGCGUGUGGUGCCUCAAUGGGGCCAAGUUUGCAAAGAGAGACACUUGUAAUUCAUUUUGCAUUUCCAGGCAGAGUAUCCAGGUCAAUUCCCAGGAAGCACAAGCUACUCACAGACAAAAUCUUUCUGUGCUCCCACCCUCAACUCCUGCUCCCACCGGGUUAAUAUUGAUAUAGUGCCCAGCUCAUCCAGCACCCUAAGGUUCUAAGGUGUUUAUUUCCCACCCCACCCCUAUACUCCCACCCCCAAGUGCAUGUCUGUCUACUGACUAUACCCCACCCUGGCAGCUAGCUUCCUCCUUGUUCCUCCUUGAACCUCCUGUACAAGGAGCCUCUCCAAGGCUAAGUACUGAUUCUGAUAUGGGAGUUGCUCAGAACUUUAGUCCGUUAGUAGUCAGUGCCGUCCUGACCCAGCUUUGGCUGCUUCCCUGAGUGAUGGGGUCAUCCUCCCCCAGCCAACACCCUGUGGGUCGUCCACCAGAGGAGCCACAAGCAAUGAUCUCCAAGAUACGAGUGUCUGACACACUUUCCAGGACCCUGGGUGAUGCUGCUGCUGUGGUCCCUUAUGGCCCAAGCACCUCUCUCUGAUAGAAAUAAGAGAGCCUCCUUCCUGCCAUGUCUCCUAGGACACCCCAUUGACUUCACCAGACAGCAAAUAAAUGCAUCAUCUUGAGAAGGGCCAAUACUCCUGUCAUCAGGAACAAAUUAUCCUGAUUGCAUAGAACCAACUCAAGCAUCAUGCUUACAAUUGAGCAGCUGAGGUACCAUCGCAGAUGGAGGUAAAGGGGCAGCUCCUGAGAAAGAGGCUGGGACCACCAUGCAAGCUUACCCCAGAGCUCUGAUGGGGGCCACACCCUCUCUCCCAUUUAGAAAGCAAUCACUACAGGAAACAUUUCAAAUAUUAGGAGAGACUUUUUUGUUGUUGUCGUUUUGCUACAGAUCAUUGCUCUUCAAUAAUAUUGCUUUAAAAAAAAAAAAAGAGGGAGCAUCCAAGUUUAAAAAAACUUUUUUCAGUUGAAAAGACAGAAUGUCUUACCCUGAUGGAAUCCCUUGAGUAGACUGAUGGCUAUUAGAAAGUUGAGCAGAACAAGCAGUUCCCAAGGAGUAAAGAGAAGGUCAUGUUCUUGCUCCUCACAGAGAUGGUGAGGGCUCUAAGUAGUGGGGUCUUUGGUUAGGAAUCUCAAGUCCCUUCUCCCUCCUCCCUCCUUCCUCCUCCCUCCUCCCUCCUCCCUCCUCCUUGGGCUGCCCCUGGAAUUUCUGAAUCCUUCAAAUUUCUUCUCGGCUUCCUUCAAACUUCACUGAAACUGAUUUUAGGGGAACCCAAGCUCCCUGUCCCCCACAAUAACACAAAAACAAGUGGACACUCAAUUAGCCAGUUUCUUCCUCUUCUGCCCGUUUGUUUUGUCUAUAUCUUUAAAGUUAAGACUCAAGCACAUGUUGGAAGGGCUCCCUUAUGAGAGUGGAGUUCAAAACAGAGGGUACAGUUAAGCAGCACCCCAAAACAAAAACUUUGAAGCAGAGACCACUCCAGCAAACAGAACGAAGGAACAUUCCUGUGCAGAGAUCAGUUCAAUUCUAUCCAAGCAAGAGGUAAAGAGGGGCUGCGUCCUCAUCUGUCCCUCUGUCCCUUCCCUGGCAUUCUUGUCAGCUUGUUGCUGUAUUAAACCUUCUGUUCUUUAAAAGCAAAAGCUAGUUUACCUCAAAGAAUUGUACUUCCAUUUGGAAACCAAUGACAGGGCUUGAGAAUGGAUGAUAUUCCUCGUACCUCUCCCUACCUGGGCCUGGUGUCCUUGGGCACGUGGUCUUAGCUUAGUCCUGAGUUAGGUGCUCUAAGCAGGCACCAGGUCCCCAGGUCUGCGAUGGGAAGAAAGGAUUGUAUGCAGCCUUUCUCCCUGCUUAGCAUGUAGGGAACAAACAGCCUCUGUCUCUUCCAUCAGGGUCUUGUCAAGUUACCAUAGCAACCAGCAACUCCAGGUACCACAAAAGACAAUGAGCUGAGGUGUGAGAGAGAGCAUGGGCUUCUGGCCUGGUCAGAGGACCCAGAAUUAAGGCCCAGAUGCUAAGAGGGCAAAGGGAGGAGGGAUCGAACUGGAUGCAUGAAUGGGUGAAGAAGAAGCUGCAAGAGGCCUUGUGAGUCAGAGAGAAGCCACUGGCAGAGCUAGGACAGAUCGCUUCUGUUUCCCUCACCGCUUACCCUUCUCCAGCCUGCCCCACCUCUAUUCCAAACACUCUCACCUUGAAUACCAACCUUUUGAAAGAAGAAAGCAAAAUAUGCCUUUAGACGACAGUGUUACCCUGGCCGCCAGGACAGGAGGAUGGGAUCUCUGAAAG
rnacentral:lncRNA from 1 species